rnacentral:rRNA from 1 species
GACGAACGCUGGCGGCGUGCUUAACACAUGCCAGUCGAACGGAAAGGCCCUGCUUGCAGGGUACUCGAGUGGCGAACGGGUGAGUAACACGUGGGUGAUCUGCCCUGCACUUCGGGAUAAGCCUGGGAAACUGGGUCUAAUGCCGGAUAGGAGCCAUUUUUAGUGUGAUGGUUGGAAAGUUUUUUCGGUGUAGGAUGAGCUCGCGGCCUAUCAGCUUGUUGGUGGGGUAAUGGCCUACCAAGGCGGCGACGGGUAGCCGGCCUGAGAGGGUGGACGGCCACAUUGGGACUGAGAUACGGCCCAGACUCCUACGGGAGGCAGCAGUGGGGAAUAUUGCACAAUGGGCGCAAGCCUGAUGCAGCGACGCCGCGUGGGGGAUGACGGCCUUCGGGUUGUAAACUCCUUUCGCUAGGGACGAAGCUUUUUGUGACGGUACCUAGAUAAGAAGCACCGGCUAACUACGUG